UAACUGCUGCAGUAUUACAGCAGCUGACUCCUGCCUCCUGUAGUGGAAAAGCUCCAGGUCUCCCCAGACUGUUUCACAGCACUAAAACCAACCAACCAAUCAACCACAACAAGGAAAAAAAGGCAAAACCAAAGUUUAAAAAAGGUUGAAAAGCUGAACAGAGGUGCACUAGGAGCAUGAAGAAGUAGAUGAAGAAGAAUGGAAGAUUACAAACCUGUAGUUGAUCCUGUUCAUCAGCAUAUUCAAUUGACUGAAAGAUACUGAGAGAAUAGCGGCGCCUCAU